AUUGAACGCUGGCGGCAUGCCUUACACAUGCAAGUCGAACGGCAUCACGGGUGCUUGCACCUGGUGGCGAGUGGCGAACGGGUGAGUAAUACAUCGGAACAUGUCCUGUAGUGGGGGAUAGCCCGGCGAAAGCCGGAUUAAUACCGCAUACGAUCUACGGAUGAAAGCGGGGGACCUUCGGGCCUCGCGCUAUAGGGUUGGCCGAUAGCUGAUUAGCUAGUUGGUGGGGUAAAGGCCUACCAAGGCGACGAUCAGUAGCUGGUCUGAGAGGACGACCAGCCACACUGGGACUGAGACACGGCCCAGACUCCUACGGGAGGCAGCAGUGGGGAAUUUUGGACAAUGGGCGAAAGCCUGAUCCAGCAAUGCCGCGUGUGUGAAGAAGGCCUUCGGGUUGUAAAGCACUUUUGUCCGGAAAGAAAUCCUUGGCUCUAAUACAGUCGGGGGAUGACGGUACCGGAAGAAUAAGCACCGGCUAACUACGUG
rnacentral:rRNA from 1 species